CCCAGCUUGUCAUGCUAAAGCACAUUUUUUAAUGGGCUCCCCAACGACAAGGCGACGACGCAUUCGUAUGUCAAUCCAAAUGAACUUUCGAUGCCAUUUACUGUGCCUACCCUGGUGACCACUGGAAACGCUGAAUCAGGGUUCGAUUCCGGAGAGUGAGCCUGAGAAACGGCUACCACAUGCAAGGAAGGCAGUGGGCACGCAAAUGACUUACUCUCGACACGGGAUGGUAGUGACG